GAAAUGCGAUAAGUAAUGUGAAUUGCAGAAUUCCGUGAAUCAUCGAAUCUUUGAACGCACAUUGCGCCCUCUGGCAUUCCGGGGGGCAUGCCUGUCCGAGCGUCAUUACGCACCCUCAAGCCCGGCUUGUGUGAUGGGCCCCGGCGUCUCGUUCGCGAGACGGGCCCGAAAGGCAGCGGCGGCGUCGACCAGAUGAGCCCGAGCGUAUGGGGACUUCUGUCACACGUUCGCGGUGCGGACCGGCGCCUGCUUGACUUUUCUGAUUAUCCAGGUUGACCUCGGAUCAGGUAGGGAUACCCGCUGAACGUAAGCA
rnacentral:misc_RNA from 1 species